CACGACAAUGGCGGCUUUGUCUCCGGGUGGUAGGGUUACAGACCAACAGGUUUUGUUAUCCAUUCUGGAACACAAAAGACAAACUAUGCAUGUAUAAAUGCUGUGUGUAUUACAGAAUGAUGAAUCAGAACCACAGUCUGAGAAAGCUGUGUGCACCAAACAG